rnacentral:rRNA from 1 species
GUACUGGCUUCGCUGAUUCCUCCUUUCUGAAGAACUGUAAUGUCAUUAAUUUGGUGUUGCAGGGAAACAGGACUGUUACUUUGAAAAAAUUAGAGUGUUUAAAGCAGGCUAACGCUUGAAUACAUUAGCAUGGAAUAAUGAAAUAGGACGUUCGAUCCUAUUUUGUUGGUUUCUAGGAUUGACGUAAUGAUUAAUAGGGAUAGUUGGGGGCAUUAGUAUUCAAUUGUCAGAGGUGAAAUUCUUGGACUUAUUGAAGACUAACUACUGCGAAAGCAUUUGCCAAGGAUGUUUUCAUUAAUCAAGAACGAAAGUUAGGGGAUCGAAGACGAUCAGAUACCGUCGUAGUCUUAACCAUAAACUAUGCCGACUAGGGAUCGGAUGAUGUUAAUUUUUUAAUGACUCAUUCGG